UUCCGGUUGAUCCUGCCGGACCCCACUGCUAUCGAGGUGGGACUUAGCCAUGCUAGUUGAGCGCACAGAACUAUGUCUGUGAGCGGCACACUGCUCAGUAACACGUAGCUAACCUACCCUUAGGACGUGGACAACCCCGAGAAAUUGGGGCUAAUCCGCGAUAGAUGUAUUGUCCUGGAAUGGUAUUACGUCUAAAGGUAUCCCAUACAUGUUUGGUAUAUGCCUAAGGAUGGGGCUGCGGCCGAUCAGGCUGUUGGUGAGGUAAUGGCUCACCAAACCUUUGACCGGUAUGGGCCAUGAGAGUGGUAGCCCAGAGAUGGACACUGAGACAAGGGUCCAGGCCCUACGGGGCGCAGCAGGCGCGAAACCUCCUCAAUGCACUAACGUGCGAAGGGGUUACCUCGAGUGCCACCUGAAGAAGGUGGCUUUUCCUUGGUCUAAAAAGCCUAGGGAAUAAGAGGGGGGCAAGACAGGUGUCAGCCGCCGCGGUAACACCAGCCCCUCGAGUGGUGGGGAUGAUUAUUUGGCCUAAAGCGUCCGUAGCCGGCCGGGUAAGUUUCCCGUUAAAUCCAGCGUCUCAAGCGUUGGACUGCGGGAAAUACUGCCUGGCUAGAGAGUGGGAGAGGUCAGCGGUACUCUGGGGGUAGGGGCGAAAUCCUUUGAUCCCCGGAGGACCACCAGUGGCGAAGGCUGCUGACUAGAACACGUCUGACGGUCAGGGACGAAAGCUGGGGUAGCGAACCGGAUUAGAUACCCGGGUAGUCCCAGCCGUAAACGAUGCAUGCUAGGUGUUGGGUU
rnacentral:rRNA from 1 species